rnacentral:misc_RNA from 1 species
CGGAACGAUUCCUUCCAGGAAGAAAGUAUUUAUUAUUUUUAAAAGGUUUACAAUGAAGGAAUAGGGUACGCCAUCUUCCCCAGGAGUUGAGUCUUUUAGGCCACUUAGAGCACAUUGGAGCUCUGAGAAAGAGAAGGGGGCAUCCAUGUCAUCAAAAGUGGAUGCUGGCGACGAAGUCAGAAAACUGUCCACUCCUGGGACAAAUGGAGGGGCAAGUUUGUCAGCAAAAUCAUUAAGCCAUACACUGGGGUUAUUGGACGGGAUGUUAUGGGAGUCAAGGCAUCGGCGGAAUUUUUUUAAGUUAGACCAAACUAUAGAAGAAGGAGAACGGGG